rnacentral:rRNA from 1 species
AUGCCGCGGUGAAUACGUUCCCGGGCCUUGUACACACCGCCCGUCACACCACGAGAGUUUGUAAUACCCGAAGUCGGUGAGGUAACCUUUUUGGAGCCAGCCGCCGAAGGUGGGACAGAUGAUUGGGGUGAAGUCGUAACAAGGUAGCCGUAUCGGAAGGUGCGGCUGGAUCACCUCCUUUCU